rnacentral:rRNA from 1 species
GACGAACGCUGGCGGCGUGCUUAACACAUGCAAGUCGAACGCUGAAGCUCAGCUUUUGUUGGGUGGAUGAGUGGCGAACGGGUGAGUAACACGUGAGUAACCUGCCCCCUUCUUUGGGAUGACGCCCGGAAACGGGUGCUAAUACUGGAUAUUCACUGGUCUUCGCAUGGGGGUUGGUGGAAAGGGUUUUUCUGGUGGGGGAUGGGCUCGCGGCCUAUCAGCUUGUUGGUGGGGUGAUGGCCUACCAAGGCUUUGACGGGUAGCCGGCCUGAGAGGGUGACCGGUCACAUUGGGACUGAGAUACGGCCCAGACUCCUACGGGAGGCAGCAGUGGGGAAUAUUGCACAAUGGGCGCAAGCCUGAUGCAGCGACGCCGCGUGAGGGAUGGAGGCCUUCGGGUUGUGAACCUCUUUCGCUCAUGGUCAAGCCGCAACAAUGGUUGUGGUGAGGGUAGUGGGUAAAGAAGCGCCGGCUAACUACGUG